rnacentral:lncRNA from 1 species
AAACUUCAGACCCCUCACAGAGACUAUCACCUCAGAACCUUUAGUCACCUCUCCGGGAAGUGCUACACAGAACUUCACAAUCUCAGGAAUAUAACCACGUAGAGGCUUGUGAUAGUCUUCUCAAGAUGGCCCUUUCUGAUUAUCUCUAGAUACCCCCAAGUAUCAUCACUCUCUAGAUCUACGAACCUUUCAGGAACGAUCUCCCGAGAAAAGAGGCUUUCAUACCUCUGUUCUGCCACGAGUUCAGCGUUUGCAUAUUUAUGAGACGUUUCUGCCUUGGAUUCUCUUGCUGAAGCUGAUGCAGUAUGCGUCUUGCUUAGUACAGCUUCUGGAACAGUAGAUUUCC